GAUGAACGCUGGCGGUAUGCCUAACACAUGCAAGUCGUACGAGAGUUUUUAACUCUAGUGGCGGACGGGUGAGUAACACGUGAGAAUUUGCCUUUAGGAGGGGGAUAACAAUUGGAAACGAAUGCUAAUACCCCAUAUGCUUUUGAGUGAAACGGAUUUAUCCGCCUAGAGAGAAGCUCGCGGCUGAUUAGCUUGUUGGUAAGGUAAGAGCUUACCAAGGCGACGAUCAGUAUCUGGUUUGAGAGGACGAUCAGACACACUGGAACUGAGACACGGUCCAGACUCCUACGGGAGGCAGCAGUGGGGAAUUUUCCGCAAUGGGCGAAAGCCUGACGGAGCAAUACCGCGUGAGGGAAGACUGGCCUAUGGGUUGUAAACCUCUUUUUCUAGGGUAGGAACAAAAUGACGUGUACCUGAAGAAUAAGCAUCGGCUAACUCCGUG
rnacentral:rRNA from 1 species